UCACAAAGCUAUUUCCUUAGAAAACGCCAUAUUAAAAUGAGAGACUUUCAGGCCACAUUGUCAAACAGCCUAUUCCCUGCCUGAGGGGUCCUGCUCCCCUGGCUUUGGGUGGGUGCCCACCAUCUUCCGUGGGUCGGGAAGCUCCCCUGGAAGAGGAAAUGGCAACCCACUCCAGCAUCCUUGCCUGGGGACCUUCAUGGGCAGAGGAGCCUGGAGGGCCACAGCCCACGCGGUCACAGAGAGUCAGACAGGACUCGCGCCCACCCGAGCCCGGAACACCACCGGGCAGGCCGUGCAGCCCACAGGGGAACGCGACGUCUCGAGACCCUUCCCGUCCCAGGAGGGCCGUCAGCCGCUGAGCUGGUGGAACACGCAGUCGUUGGGUGGACGUUGGCCAAGUUUGUGCCUCGGUUUCCCCACGGACGGCCCAAAGAGGAGGAUAACCCACUUUCUGCUGUGUCAUCGGGCCACGUAAGGGUACGGAGGGAUGUCAGAUGAGAAAACUAAGGCGCAGAGAGGUCAGGGGAGCCCAGAGAAGACCACACAGCAUGUAAAGAGCAGAAACCUUCAAACCUGUGUCUGGUUGCCUCCAGGAUCUAAACUCUUGGCUGUUACACUGAACACUGGCUGUGAUGGUUCAUCUGAACCGUCAACUGGACUGGGUCAUAAGUCACCCCUGUAUCUGAUGAAAUGUUACUCCAGGUGUUUCUGUGAAAAUGUUUUCAGGAGAGGCUGGCAUUUCAAUCCAUAAACUGAAUAGAGAAGGGUUGUACCAGAUAACAUACAGCCAAGCCAGAGCUGAUAAGCCCUCUGGAAUCCUGCGCCAAAGGAGGUACAUGGUGUCCAGUUUUCAAGGACUGCGUCUUUCGUUUCUCUUUCACACCCAGCAGCCUGACUCUGGAAGGUUAUUUCCAGACAAAGCUGAGGGGAAGAGGGCACAGCGGUCUGCAGUUGGGCUGACCGUGUAGAGAAUGGGAAGAUGAGUACCUUCUUUUUCUCUGGAGUGUAUUUCAUGCCCCUUGAUCUAAAGUCACGUUCUCUGGCUACACAGAAAUCCCAUCCUUGGACCUCAGGAUCUGCUGGUGAAAAGCCUUGGGGUUACGCCGCCAGCUCUUGGAGCCCAGCCCCGUUCCUGCACACGCGUCGCUGCUCUUGGGGCCCAGCUCCUUCCCUGCACACGAGUUGUUACUCCUGGGGCCCAGCUCCUUCCCUACACACUCGUCUCAGCAGUGAGCGGAUGCUGGCACAGACAGAUGCCGCGGGGCGUGUGGAACAUCCACACUGAGAGUCCGCCAUCCCCCACCUCCCGCACGGCCCCCUCCAACCUGCUGGGAGGCCGCACAGAGGACUUGGGUUUAGCCCAGACCUGGCCUCUGCCAUCACUAACAGGCGCUUGGGGAGGCAGCGGGGGCUGCAUCCAUCCACCCGGGUGGUGGCUCCCUCCCUCCCUCCGUGCGGUCGGCAUUCCGCUCAGUCACAGACCCAGGGUCUCGCAGGGUUGUCCGCCGUCCAGGCCCGUCCAGGCCCGUCCUGACCCAUCUGGAGCCAGUCAGGGCAGAAGCCACCCACUGGGCCGCUCGGCUCUGGGACCUUGGGCCCCAGCUGCCCAGCUGGGCUGAUCUCAUCUGGGCUGCCAAGAGCUGGGGACAAUGGCCUCGUGGAACUCGGGUCUAGUCCUGGCACCAGCAGGAACCCAGAUGGGCCCCAUUCCCAACCGCUCGUGGUCUCUGUCAGACACACACAGACACACAUAUACACAUACACACACACGGCACAGAUGCACGCACACACUCCAGUUGCCUUCCGAGCACAGCACCAGAGCAGUCAGCAACGCUGGACCCCACUUACCAGGACUCUGGCCCAGAUGGGGGCCCCCUCACCUCCCCCACUAGGUCCCCACCCCACGCUAUUCCUUCCAGCUCCCACCUCUUAGUGCCUCUGGGACCGACUGAAGAAGAGCAUCCAUUUCCCAAGCCCCGUUUCCCUCUGUCCCUGACCCAAGCCUUCCUCUGCACCCACAGGAUGUAUUUCUGCAUCCUUCCCGGAGCAGUGCUGUCUGUGUACAAACUCCCCCAAACCCCUGGCGGGGUUCUGGAGGCUGCGUUCUCGGCCACUGAAGACAGCUCCCUGGAGGCCUGGUCCGCACUCUGUAAGGCCAGGAGUUAUCCAGUCCCCGAGACUGCUGCUGUUUCUGCCAGUUUUACUGUGGCCAGAGGCUGGUGGCCGGCUGGCACCUCAUGAGCCCCGCGCAAGCAGCACCGGUGUUGCGAGGAUGCUGUGGGGAGGAGCCUGAGGACCAUGUUCCAGAAGCCACAGCAGCAUCGAGUUGUAAGAACAGUACCAAGAACUCCUACCUGUUCUGUACCCAGUUCUGCAUUGUUAACAAUGACCACAUUUACUUUAUCACUAUUAAUAAGUGCAUAGGUUUAAUGUAUCUCCCCAAAUGACCUAAAGAGCUUCCUUCCUUCACAAACAGACAAGCAAUUCACUCAAAAUAAACAAGUAAGCACAGUCCAGCAAGACUCUAAAGCAGAAGAGAAAAAAUAAAGAGAGAGAGAGAAAAAAAAUAAAGCAGAAGAGAGAAACAAGGAGAGAUUGGUCUUCCCGGUUCUUAAAACCCUCACAAGGCCUUGGUGAUUAAUACAGAAUAUGAAUAGACACACAGCCCACUGGAACAGCAGAGAAAGUCCAGAAAUAGCCCUGUGUGCCCAUGGGACAUUAAUAUAUGACAAAUGGGGGCAAAAGGGGAUUUUGCGGUAAACAGCGUAGGGACCAGUGGCUGGUUGUUGGGGGAAGGGAAGCGGGGACCACCCAGAGUCCAUCCAGAGAGACUCCAUGGCAACGCUGUCAAUGGGAAAGUAAGCCCCUGCAAGUGCGGCCAGAGGGGUCUGUAAGUGGGCCUGAUCUAUGCCCCCCCGCAUCCACCACCCGCAGCAGGCUUCUCCCAGCGUGGAGCUGCGG